rnacentral:rRNA from 1 species
GUGAGGAAUAUUGCGCAAUGGACGAAAGUCUGACGCAGCCAUGCCGCGUGAAGGAUUGACGGCCCUAUGGGUUGUAAACUUCUUUUGUAUAGGAAUAAACCCUCGUUCGUGAACGAGGCUGACGGUACUAUAAGAAUAAGCACCGGCUAACUCCGUGCCAGCAGCCGCGGUAAUACGGAGGGUGCAAGCGUUAUCCGGAUUUAUUGGGUUUAAAGGGUCCGUAGGCGGAUCGUUAAGUCAGUGGUGAAAUCCUACCGCUCAACGGUAGAACUGCCAUUGAUACUGGCGAUCUUGAGUAUGUAUGAAGUUGGCGGAAUGUGGGGUGUAGCGGUGAAAUGCUUAGAUAUCACACAGAACACCGAUUGCGAAGGCAGCUGACUAAUACACAACUGACGCUGAGGGACGAAAGUGUGGGGAUCAAACAGGAUUAGAAACCCCUGUAGUCC